rnacentral:rRNA from 1 species
GCUCAGAACGAACGCUGGCGGCGUGCUUAACACAUGCAAGUCGAACGGGAAACGUUCCUUCGGGAACCGAGUACAGUGGCGCACGGGUGAGUAACACGUAGGUGACCUACCUAUCGCUGGGGAACAACCCCGGGAAACCGGAGCUAAUUCCGCAUACGCUUUCCAACUCGCGGGUUGGAAAGGAAAGAUGGCCUCUUCAUGAAAGCUAUCGGCGAAUGAUGGGCCUGCGCGUCAUUAGCUUGUUGGUGAGGUAACGGCUCACCAAGGCUGCGAUGACUAGCUGGUCUGAGAGGAUGAUCAGCCACACUGGCACUGGAACACGGGCCAGACUCCUACGGGAGGCAGCAGUGGGGAAUAUUGCGCAAUGGGCGAAAGCCUGACGCAGCAACGCCGCGUGAGUGACGAAGGCCUUCGGGUCGUAAAGCUCUGUCGAGAGGGACGAAACACCGGUGGGAACAAUACCUCGCCGGUUUGACGGUACCUCCAAAGGAAGCACCGGCUAACUCCGUGCCAGCAGCCGCGGUAAUACGGAGGGUGCAAGCGUUGUUCGGAAUUACUGGGCGUAAAGGGCGUGUAGGCGGAUCAAGAAGUCGGGUGUGAAAGCCCUGGGCUCAACCCAGGAAGUGCGCCCGAAACCAUUGGUCUUGAGUUCCAGAGGGGAGCGGGGAAUUCCCAGUGUAGAGGUGAAAUUCGUAGAUAUUGGGAAGAACACCGGUGCCGAAGGGGCCGCUCUGGAUGGAUACUGACGCUGAGGCGCGAAAGCGUGGGGAGCAAACAGGAUUAGAUACCCUGGUAGUCCACGCUGUAAACGAUGUGCACUAAGUGUCGGGGGUAUUGACCCCCCCGGUGCCGCCGCUAAACGCAUUAAGUGCACCGCCUUGGGAAGUACGGCCGCAAAGCUGAAACUCAAAGGACAUUGACGGGGGCCCGCACAAGCGGUGGAGUAUGUGGUUCAAUUCGACGCAACGCGCAGAACCUUACUUGGGCUUGACAUCUGGGGAAGUCCCUAGAGAUAGGGAUGUGCCCUUCGGGGAACCCCAUGACAGGUGCUGCAUGGCUGUCGUCAGCUCGUGUCGUGAGAUGUUGGGUUAAGUCCCGCAACGAG